AGUUUGAUCCUGGCUCAGAUUGAACGCUGGCGGCAGGCCUAACACAUGCAAGUCGAACGGUAACAGGAAGAAGCUUGCUUCUUUGCUGACGAGUGGCGGACGGGUGAGUAAUGUCUGGGAAACUGCCUGAUGGAGGGGGAUAACUACUGGAAACGGUAGCUAAUACCGCAUAACGUCGCAAGACCAAAGAGGGGGACCUUCGGGCCUCUUGCCAUCGGAUGUGCCCAGAUGGGAUUAGCUUGUUGGUGGGGUAACGGCUCACCAAGGCGACGAUCCCUAGCUGGUCUGAGAGGAUGACCAGCC
rnacentral:rRNA from 1 species